rnacentral:rRNA from 1 species
CCUACGGGGUGCAGCAGUGAGGAAUAUUGGUCAAUGGACGAGAGUCUGAACCAGCCAAGUAGCGUGAAGGAUGACUCCCCUAUGGGUUGUAAACUUCUUUUAUAUGGGAAUAAAAUGUUCUACGUGUAGGAUUUUGUAUGUACCAUAUGAAUAAGGAUCGGCUAACUCCGUGCCAGCAGCCGCGGUAAUACGGAGGUGCCGAGCGUUAUCCGGAUUUAUUGGGUUUAACGGGAGCGUAGGUGGAUUGUUAAGUCAGCUGUGAAAGUUUGCGGCUCAACCGGGAGAUUGCAGUUGAAACUGGCAGUCUUGAGUACAGGAGAGGUGGGCGGAAUUCGUGGUGUAGCGGUGAAAUGCUUAGAUAUCACGAAGAACACCGAUUGCGAAGGCAGCUUGCUGGACUGCAACUGACGCUGAGGCUCGAAAGUGUGGGGAUCAAACAGGAUUAGAUACCCCAGUAGUC